GAUGAACGCUGGCGGCGUGCCUAAUACAUGCAAGUCGAGCGAACGGACGAGAAGCUUGCUUCUCUGAUGUUAGCGGCGGACGGGUGAGUAACACGUGGAUAACCUACCUAUAAGACUGGGAUAACUUCGGGAAACCGGAGCUAAUACCGGAUAAUAUUUUGAACCGCAUGGUUCAAAAGUGAAAGACGGUCUUGCUGUCACUUAUAGAUGGAUCCUCGCUGCAUUAGCUAGUUGGUAAGGUAACGGCUUACCAAGGCAACGAUGCAUAGCCGACCUGAGAGGGUGAUCGGCCACACUGGAACUGAGACACGGUCCAGACUCCUACGGGAGGCAGCAGUAGGGAAUCUUCCGCAAUGGGCGAAAGCCUGACGGAGCAACGCCGCGUGAGUGAUGAAGGUCUUCGGAUCGUAAAACUCUGUUAUUAGGGAAGAAUAUAUGUGUAAGUAACUGUGCACAUCUUGACGGUACCUAAUCAGAAAGCCACGGCUAACUACGUG
rnacentral:rRNA from 1 species